CAAUAGCGUAUAUUAAAGUUGUUGCGGUUAAAAAGCUCGUAGUUGGAUUUCUGUUGAGGUUGGGCGGUCCGCACUACGUGCGUGUAUCUGCUUCGGCCUUGGCAUCCUCUCGGAAUACGGUACUGUGCUUGACUGCAUGGUCCGGAGUUCGGGACUUUUACUUUGAGGAAAUUAGAGUGUUCACGGCAGGCAAUCGCCCUGAAUAUAUUAGCAUGGAAUAAUGAUAUAGGAUCUGAUGCCUAUUUUGUUGGUUUCUAGGUGUUAGAUAAUGAUUAAUAGGGACAAUUGGGGGGAGUUCGUAUUAUGGCGUCAGAGGUGGAAUUCUUGGAUUGCCAUACGACGAACUACUGCGAAAGCAUUUCUCAAGGAUGUUUUCAUUGAUCAAGAACGAAAGUAAGGGAUCGAAGAUGAUCAGAUACCAU
rnacentral:rRNA from 1 species